GACGAACGCUGGCGGCGUGCUUAAUACAUGCAAGUCGAACGGAAAGGCCCUGCUCUUGUGGGGUGCUCGAUUGGCGAACGGGUGAGUAACACGCGUGUAACCCGUCCUUGUCUUUGGGAUAUCUUCAGGAAACUGGGGCUCAUAUCGGAUAGGAGCUCCUGCUGCAUGGUGGGGGUUGGAAAGUUUCGGCGGUGGGGGAUGGACUCGCGGCUUAUCAGCUUGUUGGUGAGGUAGUGGCUUACCAAGGUUUCGACGGGUAGCCGGCCUGAGAGGGUGACCGGCCACAUUGGGACUGAGAUACGGACCAGACUCCUACGGGAGGCAGCAGUGGGGAGUAUUGCGCAGUGGGCGGAAGCCUGAUGCAGCAACGCCGCGUGCGGGAUAACGGCCUUCGGGUUGUGAACCGCUUUCGCCUGUGACGAGGCGUGAGUGACGGUAAUGGGUAAAGAAGCACCGGCUAACUACGUG
rnacentral:rRNA from 1 species